GACAGAGGUGCCAAGCGUUAGGCGGAAUCACUGGGCUUAAAGCGUGUGUAGGCGGAUCGUUAAGUACCUUGUGAAAUCCCACGGCUUAACCGUGGAACUGCUCGGUAUACUGGCGAUCUUGAGCCACCUAGGGGCAACUGGAACAAGCGGUGGAGCGGUGAAAUGCGUAGAGAUGUGGAGGAACACCGAUGGCGAAGGCAGCCCCCUGGGUCAAGAUUGACGCUCAUGCACGAAAGCGUGGGGAGCAAACAGG
rnacentral:rRNA from 1 species